UCAUUCCACAGAAGGCACCACCCAGAGUGGUAGAUAUAACAGAGUGGCAACACUUCCAUUGGACUCCGUUGUAGCGCCUACUUCCGGGGUAUGGAGCCUCGAAUAGUUCCAAACAACCAUUUUACUGUGUAGGAGACCAUUCAUUUCCAUUGCUGGCCGCCGAGUAACUUCUGAGGGUGAUGUCAAGAAGCCCUACAGAUGCCGCCGCUUCAACAAUGCUGAUUAUGAUGGGCGGUCAAUUUAACCUAAAUUAGUGUGACUGCUGAUGCUGUUGGUGGAUGCUGUUGGUGGCUGCUGGUGUUAGCGGCUGACGACGGCUGCUGAUGGUGGUGGCUGGUGCUGGCGUUGGCUGCUGGUGGUGGCUGCUGGUAGAUGCUGCUUGUUGUGACUGCUGGAAUAAGAGGAGGCUGGGGGCUGCGGAUGGUGGGCCAGGAAUGGAGAGGCCAAAUACAUCCAUGGCAAUCAGUAAGCCGUUCGGCAGUGGCCUAGAUGUUAUGACCUUAGCUCAUGGCAUGAGGGAAGGUUGCUGUCCAGACCCAUGGCCUCUCUUUCCUGCUGUGCCACUACAUUGGAACACUGCAUGAGGGAAUCACUCGUCUGAGAACGGAACAGCUGCUCCACGUUCUGCAGGAGAGUGAACACCUCAUCGGAUUGCCGGUGGUAGAGGACACAGGACUCGGUCUUUGUCAUGUCAGGUGGUAAUGGGUCUACCAGCUGCUCCACUCUCACAACCUCAGAAGCACUGCAGCUGCUGUUCUGGGUUUCCAGGAAGUCCGCCAAGUGGUCUGAUGCAUCAUCCAGAUAACUGCCAGUAUGUGUUGUGGAGAGGAACUGCCCUACAGUGACAGCCCAUAGUGCAUAGUGGAACUCCACAGAUCUUGCUGGACCUCCUGAAUUGUUCUUGUGGCCAUCACCAGUCCAGUCUGGACUGGUUUCCAGCUGCCCUGGGGACCGAUCUUCAGGCCCGGAAAAAGAUGGAUCGAGUCGCGGAGGAAGCUGAUGGCCUUUUCAUACUCUCCCAUCUUGAAAUGACUGAGGGCACAAACAACAUUGCGGGACGACAUGAGGUCAAACCAGUGGUCCAUCUUCUCCAAAAACCAUGACGUUGUAAGGCUCAAGGGCACCUUGGGUGCCAGCUUAAGUGCCAUGCCCUCUUGGAAGGACACCAGAUCCUUUAAGGGGGCAACAGAGACUUCACUCGAUGCCAGCUGUCUCGAUGUCGUCUAUUUUGUUUCCUUCUUGCAGCUUGGCCACUGGUGGUAGCAACCACUUCCUCGUCACUGCUGCUCUCUUCAUUCCCCGGAACACCUUCACCGCCGUUGCCCACACUGCCUGCGUCUCCUUCAGCUUCCUCCUCCUCACUGUUGCUCCUCUCACCCUCAUCUGCAGGGAUCAGAAUAAGCCAAUAGAAAAUCUACCAGCCAACACCAAAAUUAAGAGUUUGGUUCCAAAAAGCUAUCUAUCCAUCUUUGAAAAUAUUCAAAAGUCAUGUAUUUGGAAUGUAUUAUUUUAGAAAUGUUUGACCAGAUUUUAAUUAUGUAUAAAUAAAUCAAGUACAACUGUAGGCCUAAUGCAUAUCCACUGAUAUAUCUAAAACACAAAAUGUAAAUAUAUAGACUAUGUAUUUCUGAAAAUGAAUGAAAAUGGCUUCUAUAGUGUUCUGGAAACAACCUCUUCUAAUUUACCAGCAUUGGCUGGUGCUAAUUUUGAAUCCUGUUUCACCUGGCUUGGCAACAUCCUCAUUACUGCUGCUCCUGUCCCUUUCACUGCUGCUCUCAUCACCUGGCCUUGGCACAUAUUCCUCAUCGCUGCCUGCACUGUCACUCAGACAACUAUCCUCACUGUCUUGUGGGAGUGCCCUUACGUGCGGUUGCGCGCUUGCGCUCUUGCCGUAAAAAACGGAGGGUUUCAUUCAGGUCUACAGAGAAAUAAAUGGCAGUUGUAUUCGCAUCCCAGCGUAGUGUCAGUAUAAUGAUUAUCUGAAAUAACUUAGCAAAAUACAGUGGAUUCCCUAGAUAAGCCGCCCAAAAAGAGUUUUACUAAUUAGCGCUGGUUAGUGGUUAGCAUUAGGCUAACGGCCUACUGUCGCUAAUAUGCUACAAAGCUAAAUAUGAUAAUAACUUCAAAAAUACGAAUCACACACAUUUCACCUCAUUACGUCAAGUGUAUAAGCACACAAUAAGCAUGUGAGUAUUUUUAUCUAACCACAACUUACCUUAAAAUUAACACAGGAUUGAACUUCCCCAACUCCUAUCGUGAGCAGCAUAACCGGAUUUAUCCUUGUACGUAAAGAGUUAACAGGUCCGUCACUUUGCGGUCCCACGGGAAACAACUGCUUGUCGAAGGUUCCUAG
ensembl:lncRNA